rnacentral:rRNA from 1 species
CGUGAGGGAAAGGUGAAAAGCACCCCGGGAGGGGAGUGAAACAGUACCUGAAACCGUGCGCCCACGAGCAGUCGGAGCACCUAUACGGUGUGACGGCGUGCCUUUUGUAGAAUGAGCCAGCGAGUCGCUGGCGCGGGGCGAGGUUAACCGAAAGGGAGCCGGAGCGAAAGCGAGCCUUAACAGGGCGACUUGAGUCCCGCGCCGCGGACGCGAAGCCGGGUGAGCUAUCCGUGGGCAGGCUGAAGCGGGGGUAAGACCCCGUGGAGGGCCGAACGCACGUCGGUUGAAAACGGCGGCGAUGACCUGCGGAUAGGGGUGAAAGGCCAAUCAAACCCGGAGAUAUCUCGUUCUCCCCGAAAUAGCUUUAGGGCUAGCGUCGCGCGUUCACCGCCGGAGGUAGAGCACCGGAUGGACGAGGGGGCUUCGCCGCCUACCGAAUCCAACCGAACUCCGAAUGCCGGCGGCCCAGAGCGCGGCAGUCAGAGCAUGUGGGCUAAGCUGUGUGCUCGAGAGGGAAACAGCCCGGACCGCCCGCUAAGGUCCCCAAGUUCCAGCCGAGUGGCAAAGGAUGUGCGUCCGCCCAGACAACCAGGAUGUUGGCUUAGAAGCAGCCAUGCAUUCAAAGAGUGCGUAACAGCUCACUGGUCGAGUGGACAUGCGCCGACAAUACACGGGGCUAAGCUGGACACCGAAGCGGCGGGAUUUUGAUUUUCAGAAUCGGUAGGGGAGCUUCCCAUGGGCGGUGAAGCCGCCGGGCGACCGGCGGUGGAGCGCAUGGGAGUGAGAAUGCUGGCAUGAGUAGCGAGAGACGAGAGAGUAACUCGUCCGCCGUGAACCCGAGGUUUCCUGGGCAAGGCUAAUCCUCCCAGGGUCAGUCGGGGGCUAAGGCGAGGCCGGGAGGCGUAGCCGACGCGCAGCAGGCAGACAUUCCUGCACCGCGCACGCGGCGCUACGACCGACGGGGCGACGGAUGGGGGUGGCUCGGCGGGGUUCUGGACGUCCCCGUGAUGGAGCGCGGCCCGCGGACCAGGGAAAUCCGGUCCGCACACAGGGCGAGGCUCCGGACGAAGCGAUCAAGCGAAGCGAGUGAGCCCGAGGUCCCUAGAAAAACCCCUAGGCAGGCGCGUGCGCGCCCGUACCGCAAACCGACACAGGUGGGUGGGUAGAACAUACCGAGGCGAUCGGGUCAACCAUGGUCAAGGAACUCGGCACAAUGGCCCCGUAACUUCGGGAGAAGGGGUGCCCGCGCGUACGUGAACCGGCUUGCCCGGGGAGCGGAGGCGGGCCGCAGUGGAGAGGCCCAAGCGACUGUUUACCAAAAACACAGGACUCUGCAGAAGCCGCAAGGCGACGUAUAGGGUCUGACGCCUGCCCGGUGCCGGAAGGUCACGCGGAGGAGUUAGCCGCAAGGCGAAGCCCCGAAGCCAAGCCCCGGUAAACGGCGGCCGUAACUAUAACGGUCCUAAGGUAGCGAAAUUCCUUGUCGGGUAAGUUCCGACCUGCACGAAAGGCGCAACGACUUGGGCGCUGUCUCGACCAUGGACCCGGUGAAAUUGCACUGGUCGUGAAGAUGCGACUUACCCGCGGAAGGACGGAAAGACCCCGUGAACCUUCACUGCAGCUUGGCAUUGGCCGCUGGUCCCGCGUGUAGAGGAUAGGCAGGAGGCGAAGAUCCGGAGGCGCCAGCCCCCGGGGAGCCGCCCUUGGAAUACUGCCCUCGCGCGACCGGCGUCCUAACCCGAGGCCGUCAACCGGCUCGGGGACCGUGCCAGGCGGGCAGUUUGACUGGGGCGGUCGCCUCCUAAAGGGUAACGGAGGCGCGCGAAGGUCCGCUCGGGACGGUCGGCAACCGUCCUUUUGAAUGCAAGAGUACAAGCGGGCUUGACUGCGAGGCCCACAAGCCGAGCAGGUGCGAAAGCAGGCUCUAGUGAUCCGGCGGCCCCGAGUGGGUGGGCCGUCGCUCAACGGAUAAAAGGUACUCCGGGGAUAACAGGCUGAUCUUGCCCAAGAGUCCACAUCGACGGCAAGGUUUGGCACCUCGAUGUCGGCUCAUCGCAUCCUGGGGCUGAAGUAGGUCCCAAGGGUUGGGCUGUUCGCCCAUUAAAGCGGUACGCGAGCUGGGUUCAGAACGUCGUGAGACAGUUCGGUCCCUAUCCUCCGUGGGCGCAGGAGAAUCGAUGGAGGCUGCCCCCAGUACGAGAGGACCGGGGUGGACGCACCUCCGGUGAACCGGUUGUCGACCAACGGCACGGCCGGGUAGCCGCGUGCGGCGCGGAUAACCGCUGAAGGCAUCUAAGCGGGAAGCCGUUCCAGGGAUUAGUUCUCCUUCCGGUAAGGGCCCAGGUAGACUACCUGGUCGAUAGACGGCAGGUGCAAGGACGGCGACGUCCUCAGCCGAGCCGCACUAAUCGCCCGAGCUCUUCCGGA